rnacentral:rRNA from 1 species
UACGGAGGAUGCAAGCGUUAUCCGGAUUCAUUGGGUUUAAAGGGUGCGCAGGCGGGCAUUUAAGUCAGUGGUGAAAAGCUGCCGCUCAACGGUAGUCUUGCCAUUGAUACUUUUUGUCUUGAGUUUGUUUGAGGUAGGCGGAAUGUGCAGUGUAGCGGUGAAAUGCAUAGAUAUCACGAGGAACUCCGAUUGCGAAGGCAGCUUACUAAACCAUAACUGACGCUCAGGCACGAAGGCGUGGGGAUCAAACAGGAUUA